UACGUAGGUGGCAAGCGUUGUCCGGAAUUAUUGGGCGUAAAGGGCUCGCAGGCGGUUUCUUAAGUCUGAUGUGAAAGCCCCCGGCUCAACCGGGGAGGGUCAUUGGAUACUGAUCGACUCGAAGGCAGGAGAGGGUAGUGGAAUUCCCGGUGUAGUGGUGAAAUGCGUAGAUAUCGGGAGGAACACCAGUGGCGAAGGCGACUACCUGGCCUGUUCUUGACGCUGAGGCGCGAAAGCUAGGGGAGCAAACGGG
rnacentral:rRNA from 1 species